CCUACGGGGGGCAGCAGUGGGGAAUAUUGGACAAUGGGCGAAAGCCUGAUCCAGCCAUGCCGCGUGUGUGAAGAAGGCCUUCGGGUUGUAAAGCACUUUCAGUGGGGAAGAAAGCCUUGGGGCUAAUACCCUCGAGGAAGGACAUCACCCACAGAAGAAGCACCGGCUAACUCCGUGCCAGCAGCCGCGGUAAUACGGAGGGUGCGAGCGUUAAUCGGAAUUACUGGGCGUAAAGCGCGCGUAGGCGGUUUGAUAAGCCGGUUGUGAAAGCCCCGGGCUCAACCUGGGAACGGCAUCCGGAACUGUCAGGCUAGAGUGCAGGAGAGGAAGGUAGAAUUCCCUGUGUAGCGGUGAAAUGCGUAGAGAUCGGAAGGAAUACCAGUGGCGAAGGCGGCCUUCUGGACUGACACUGACGCUGAGGUGCGAAAGCGUGGGUAGCAAACAGGAUUAGAUACCCCGGUAGUC
rnacentral:rRNA from 1 species